UUAACAUUGCCUGCACAAAUAUGCGAUGGUCUGGCAUUAGUGGGUCGCAUCUCCAACGUUUUUGUGUUUGCUGUUGUUGUUGUGCGCUUAGAAGGCACACUAGGCACAGUUUGUUGGUUUCGGCUUGUCAAUUGGUUGGCGUGGGCGGCUGUUUGGGCAGGUGGUGGCGCCGUGUUCACAUGUGUGUGUGUAAGUGUAUGCAUGUGUGUAGCGUUGCUGUUUGGCGGGUAAUUGCAUCGCCACGAGCUGAGUCCUACUUCAGUUGUUAUCGUACGGUUCGGCUGUUUGGUUUGCUCAGCGACAAAAUGGCUUUGCCGUUACUAUUUCGGCCUCUUCGAAUGGUUGGUUGAAUGCGCUGUUGUUAUUUGCGGUGCGUAAGACGCGUGUUUAACAAGUUCGAAUGGAGUUUGUGCUACAAUAACAACAACUGAUAAACAAAGUGUACGGUUAUUUCGGUGUUUUAGUGUUUUUCGACUUUUUUCCGUGCAGUCAUUCAAGCAAAUUUUCACCGCUCAAGUGCAUUGUGCAUUCUUGUAGCGUAAUUUGUUGCAGUUUUUGCUGUUUUUAUAUAAUUAUUUUUUGUUGUUGCACUUACCGCAGUGAAUUUCGUGCGUUUUUACAGCGCCGUAGAUUCUGUGUGUCACUUCAAGCGCUUCAAGUGCUCUAACGGCAUGCAAUUUUCAAAGUGAUUUGCUGGUGAUUCGCAAGUGAUUGGCUCUGGAUGUGCGUUGACGCGGCGGUUUCGCGUUUGUCUUUAUCUGUUUGUUCUUGCGAGUUUCAUGCGUGAAAGUUUCGAAACUUUCUGUGGCGGUUUCUUCAGUGAUUGACAGGCGAAUCGGCAGACAUGCGGUAGUUUUUGCAAUCCAAUUUUCCCCAAAAAAAAACAAUGAAGUGCUUAAUUACAUAUGUAUGUAUGUAUGCACGAGUGUAUAAACAUAUGUAUGUAUGUAUGUUUAUUAAUACAACUGAUUCAUGCAUUUUUUUGAGUGUGUCUCUGUGUUCUUGACAGGUUAGUGUAUCACUUGGGCUCAAGAUUUCUUAAAGAGAGCGAGAGUUUCUGUGUAAAAGUAAUCAAAGUUAUUUUGUGCAGUUCGGCGACAACUAUAAACAACAACAAUAUUCAAAGUAAUAAUAACAGCAGUGUUGUUCUUGACUGGACAUGAACAGACAUGAAAUGAUUUAGUGGAUUAAAAGAUAACCUCACUUUUCCUUAACCUUUGUGAUAUUCAUGAAAAAGAGUAUUGUGCGCAGUAAAUUGUGAAAAUGACGCGAUUUGUGUAUAAAAUCUUUUCGCAAAUUUAAAAAAAUAUCCCGUUAGUGCUUAUUUUUUUUUGAAAUAGUGCAAUUGAAUAAAUAAUUGAAAGUUAAAAAGAAUAAAAUUAAAAUACAAAAUUAGUCUUAGUGUUUCCUACCGCCGCGGCCGCAGUGCCUUUCUCCAUUUAAUUAUUGUCUUUUCUCUUAUAACCGCGCGCGUUAAACCACUAUUCUGGCCAAUCUGUGGCAGCGUCUACGUUCGCCACGGCCCAAUCGGGCUGGUGGCGGCUAUUUUCUCACCGGCACCUCACACUGGAAUGCCGUGGAAACGACGGGCGGCGUACACUCGGCCACCGAAGAGUAUGUCAUCAAGGGCGGACGUGGCCGCAGUUCGUUGGAGGCGAUUGCACGCGCAGCUGUGGCGCCACUAACAACAAACGCCAGUGCGGCAGCGGCAGCCAGUACAUCUUCAACAGCAACAACAACCACCACAACCAAAAUGAUUGCACCACGCUAUCGUUUUCGCGAUUUAUUGCUCGGCGAUUUCUCAUUCAACGAUGAUGGUGAAAGGUAAGUGAUUUGCGAGCGCUGGGAUUACAUAAACUUAUACCAUGUACCUACCAACGUAAUAUAUGCAAGGAAGGCUUAUACCUUUGCCUGUAUGUGUGUAGGUAAGCGAUUGAGUUAACAUAAUGACGUGCAAAACACACAUAUAACGGUAUGUAAUAGUCACUUGUAGCGAGUGAUUGACAGCCAUGCUCGCGCUGCGCUGUUUGCCUUCCGUCAUUGUAGUGUCGUCUGGCGUUCGCCAUGACGUAUGAGUAACAACAUUUUGUCGCCUCGUAAGCAAAUAUCUCAACUGGUGUCGUUGUUAAGUGAUGGCGCUUUGUAUGGUGGGUGAGUACUUAACAUAAAUGAGUGUGCAGGAUUUUAUGAAAUCUUUUAAAAGGUAUUGGCUGGGAGUGUGUGCAAAUGUGUUUGUGUGGAUUUAAAUAUUGAAGAUUUAUUUGUAAUAUUUUGUGAAGAGUAAGUGAUUUGUUUUGGCGAUUAAAAAAAAAAAAACAUAAUCAUGCAAAUGUAAAAAAUUCAAAAGAAUCAGUGCUUGAUUCAAUACAAUAUUUUCGCUUUUGAAAUAUUUUUGUCUCAUCAUUUUCUAAUUUUGAGCCUUUGGAAAUCAAUUGAUUUUUAAUCAACUCUCAAAAUAGUUAUUUAUAUUCGUAACAAGUCAAGGCUUGACUCUAAAAGUAUUUAUACAUUCAACUUUUUUCGACUUCUGAAUCUAGAGAAGUUCCUGACUUGGCCAACUCUUUUGACCGGAGCUAACUUUCCUGAGCUUAAAACCUUCAUACACUUGUUGAUCACGACAGAAUUUAUCUUAGAUGACGACAAGGCCACCUGGUUAUCUGCGUAUAUGGUAAAUUUCUCUAUUCCUCCUUUAGUAAUACCGUAGAAUAAGCCUUUUCUAAGUCUUUGAAGCUGCUAGCUAAGUUUAGUAGUUGGAUAAAGAGUGAGGAAUGUCAAUAUUCAUGUUCCUACUAUGCAGUCGACUUUGAAUCCGUUGGUAUAAACUAAAAUAUUAUUAUUUCCAUGUACUAAACCUCUGCUCUAUUCAUGCCUCGAUACGUCAAUGAUUUCCAGCUCAGUUUGUUAUCGAUCUGGAUCCCUAGCUAUUUUGUCGUCUGGGGCAGAAAAUUUGACGUUUUUUUUUAAACAAAUUCACUAGAUUUAUCAAUACAUUCCUUACAUAACCUCCACUAGUACAAAAUGCAGCGUAAUCUCGUGAAAGAUACACGAUCCAACAACGAUUCCAAAUUAUUAAACUACCGAAAUUCGCAGACAGUGUGCUCAACUUUAACACAGCCAUUUUGAUAAAUGGGAUUUUGAGUACGAAUGGCUCCACUAAGUAGUCAUGUUUAUUUUAUAAACAAAUCUGAAAAUGUCAAAAAGGUAAAAAUUAAACGCUUCUAGCAUACUUUUAAGCGAUUGAACCUUAACUCCGCUCAAAUACACUUAUCUAUGUAUUUACUCACUUCUAUAUAAAUAGCGUAUAUAUCCUUGUCAUUCAUUAGGCAAAUCGAAGUCUUGAUUGCCGAGGCACUUACAAAUCUAUGCGCAUUCAAACCGAGUAACUGACAAGGGCAAGCAUCAAAAUUCGAUAGCGAAACGCGAAACGACCUCCUACAACACACACGCAUUCAAACACAACUGCGUACCUUUCGUAAUCACCGUUUCGGUGUCACUUGCGGCUGACAAAACGUACGUGUUUCUUGUGAAAAGUGUCACCGUCGUCCUGUCGCUCACCUGCACGCCGCACCGAUUUGGCGAACAAGUUUUAGCCAUUUUAUUUCGGAGCUCGCAGUCUUGCUCACUUAGCAUUAUCCUGUUUGUACGCGUGGUUUCGGGACUCAAUGCUUUUGUGACAGUUUCGUGUAGAUUAAGCUCUCGGUUGUAUCUUCUCACGUUUUACGCUUUUUCUUCGGUUUUGUUGGCUGACACAUUUAUCACCUUAAACGUCUGAAAAUAGAUGAGUUUUCACCUGGAAUAUGAGAUAAGAUUUUUUAUUGUUAGUGUAAAUUUUUUUUCGGAAUUUAUCAUAAAUGUCAUAAGUGUGGUUUUAUUGCUUUAAUUAUCGGAGUUUUUUUUAGAAGUUUCACCAAUUCGUGUUACGCGUUUGGUGAACAUGCGGUGUUUUCUAAUUUAAGGUAUACUUUAUGGUAAUUUAGUUAAAUUUUGGGUACACUUUUAUUUCCAUGAAAGAUAACUAUUUUACAUAUGGUUUCGAGGUAAUUGAGCUUCGCCGGCUUAUAUACAGACUCUCUAUGGACCCAAGUACUUGAAACUUUUUUGCUGGGUCUACUGGAACUUGAUAUUGAUGAGUAUAA